rnacentral:lncRNA from 1 species
GUAGUAGAGACUGCAGUAGAAACUGUAGUAGAUACUGCAGUAGAGACUGUGGUAGAGACUGUAGUAGAGACUGCAGUAGAGACUAUAGUAGAGACUGCAGUAGAGACUGUAGUAGAGUCUGUAGUCGAGCCUGCAGUAGAGACUGUAGUAGAGACUGCAGUAGAGACUGCAGUAGAGACUGCAGUAGAGACUGCAGUAGAGACUAUAGUAGAGACUGUAGUAGAGACUGCAGUAGAGACUGUAGUAGAGACUGUAGUAGAGACUGUAGUAGAGACUGCAGUAGAAACUGUAGUAGAUACUGCAGUAGAGACUGUGGUAGAGACUUUAGUAGAGACUGUGGUAGAGACUGUAGUAGAAACUGUAGUAGAGACUACAGUAGAGACUGCAGUAGAGACUGUAGUAGAAACUGUAGUAGAGACUGUGGUAGAGACUGUAGUAGAGACUGCAGUAGAGACUAUAGUAGAGACUGUAGUAGAGGUAGCGACUGUAGUAGAGACUGCAGUAGAGACCGUAGUAGAGGUAGAGUCUGUAGUCGAGCCUGCAGUAGAGACUGUAGUAGAGGUAGAGACGGCUGUAGAGACUGUAUUAGAUACUGCAGUAGCGGGAGACUGUAGUAAAGACUAGCAGAGGUAGAGACUGUAGUUGAGACUGUAGUCGAGAUUGUAGUAGAGACUGCAGUAGAAACUGUAGUAGAGACUACAGUAGAGACUGCAGUAGAGACUGUAAUAGAGACUGUAGUAGAGUAUGCAGUAGAGACUGUAGUAGAGACUGUAGUAGAGACUACUGUAGAGACUGUAGUAGAGACUGCAGUAGAGACUGUAGUAGAGAACGUAGUAGAGACUACUGUAGAGACAGUAGUAGAGACUGUAGUAUUGACUGCAGUAGAGACUGCAGUAGAGACUGUAGUAGAGACUAGUAGAGACUGCAGUAGAGACUGCACUAGAGACUGUAGUAGAGACUGUAGUAGAGACUGUAGUAGAGACUGCAGUAGAG